GGGCAAUUAGCUCAGUUGGUAGAGCAACUGACUCUUAAUCAGCAGGUCCAGGGUUCGAAUCCCUGAUUGCCCACCA
rnacentral:tRNA from 1 species